UCUAAUAUCUUUCGCCAAAACUUUUGGAGCCACUCGUUUGAUGGAUGCAUGUUUGAAAUUCAUCGACUUGUGGAAGAAAAAGCAUGAAACUGGCCAGUGGGUUGAAAUUGAAGCAACAGAAG